UAUAUACAUACACUCAGAUCAGAUCUAUGUUUGUAUCUCUACUGCUACAAGACUUUGACUUGAAAGGUCUCCUCUUUGAUGAAAAGUUUAUCUAACUCAAGUGUCACUAACUCCAAGAAUCCAGCCUGAAAAAACCCAGAAAUCUUGGCUUUAAGACACCAUUAAAGCCCAAGAAUCAGAUAAUCUCUCUCUCAGGAAAAUAACCAAGAAUCUGUGUGACGAAACAGAGAUUGAAGAACUUGGAUCUGAGAGAAGCUCCUGAGAGGAGAAAGGGAGCUACAACAAUGGCGGGAUUCACUAUGAGCUUAAAUCUGCUUCUACUAGUAGCUAUGGUAGCUACCAACAUCCUCUCUCUCUACCAUCUCUCCUCCACCACCAGCUUCUUCCAAUCCACCCUCAAAUCCUCACCGUCCACUGUCCCCACUGUCCCCGACCACCUCCUCCGUCAGCUCCACACUAUCCGCUCCGCCAUCAACCACCUCACAACCCACCACCAGCCGGACAAAUCCACUUCGACUGCCUCCGCCGUCUCCUCCUCCGCGCCGCCGAAAGAUCUCCUCCUCUACUCUAAGCUCUCUCCCAUAGCUUCCGCCUGCCACAACUACCCAGACCUCCUCCACGAGUACAUGAACUAUACUCCUUUCUCUACUUGCCCUUCCGACACCGAUCGCGCCGAGAAACUCAUCCUCCGCGGCUGCCAUCCGCUCCCUCGCCGUCGUUGCUUCUCCCGCACGCCGCGAAAUCCGACUGAUUCCAAACCGGAGUCGAACGUUAUCUGGUCUUACUACUCGUGCAAGACGUUCGAUUGCUUGACGACGAAGUUCCCCGGUCUAGGUUUCGAUCUCUCCCUCGACAAAUCCAAAUCUCAGUUCUCUUCGUACAAGUCCGAGCUCGAUCUCCCCAUCUCGCAGCUCCUCCAGAUCGCUAAAACCGCCAACUCCGUUCUCCGGCUCGGGAUCGACGUCGGCGGAGGGACCGGGUCUUUCGCCGCGGCGAUGAAGGCUCGCAAUGUCACCGUCCUGACCACGACGAUGAACUUCAACGCGCCGUAUAGCGAGGCGGUGGCGUUGAGAGGGCUCGUGCCGCUCCACGUGCCUCUCCAGCAGAGGCUUCCGGUGUUUGACGGUGUGGUGGAUUUGGUUAGGUGCGGACGAGCGGUGAACCGGUGGAUUCCGGUUACGGUUAUGGAGUUUUUCUUGUUUGAUUUGGACCGGGUUCUUAUAGGUGGUGGUUAUCUAUGGUUGGACCGGUUCUUUAGCAAAAAGGUUGAUCUUGAAAAUGUGUAUGCGCCGAUGAUCGGGAAAUUGGGUUAUAAGAAGGUGAAGUGGGUGGUGGCGAACAAAGUGGAUUCGAAACAUGGUGAAGUUUUCUUGACGGCCCUGCUUCAGAAACCUGUUGCAAGAUGAUGUUGAAUCUUUUUUGAGGGCACUUUCCUCAAGAGUUUCAGAACGUGUAUGUUUUGUAGCAAACAGCUUAUUGUUGUUGAAGGUUUGGAAGAACAUGAAGUUUUUUUUCCAGCUGUAAGCACACAAGCAAGCAAGCAACAAUGUCUUAUAUCAAAUUGCAGUUGCAAAGAUAAGAAACGUUAAGAAGUUUCAGGAUUGAAUUCGAGCGUCUGAAAGUUUAUGACGAUUUUAUAAUGCUAAUUCUAUAAUCCCUUACCAACCUGCCAUAGUCACGAGUCUGUUUAUCAAUCCAAGCCCACAAGACAUGGUCUGAGAGUAUGAGACUGACCACAAAUUCAAACUUAAUCUGAGCCUGACUUGCUUAACCUUUUCUAGUUUCUCUUGUACACAUGGUUUUGCUUCAUUUGUGAGAGUUCUUUUGUGCUAGCAAUGCUCAACCAAGAUAAGCUACCACUCUU